ensembl:lncRNA LINC02661 long intergenic non-protein coding RNA 2661
AGGCAACAGCGGAGGUAUGCUGGGAGAUUUCCAUAUAAGGGAUCCUGUGUUUCCUGCACAGUCCACAAAGCACGAUGUUGAGUCACCUGCUCUCAGAGUCCAUGACAGCUCUGUCCUCUUCAAUAAUGGUGCAUGGUGACCCUCAAUAUGAGAUACAAGCAUCUGUUAUCUGGAGACUGGCUGCUCUCAGUGAAAAAAGAAGGAGUACUGCUAAUAGGCUUUCACCUCACAGCCUGAAUGCCAGGCCACCACACAAGAACUGAAGAGGCCAGGCUCCUCCCCAUUCUCCCAGUGUGCAGAUAAAGACACAUGUACUUAGAGAGAAAGAGUUGAUUUAAAGUUACACAGCUAUGUAGCAGCAGAAACAAAAUUUGAGUCCAGGAUACCUGGCCCCAGAAUCUACCUCUACUUCACAUGGCUUCUCAAAUACAUGCUGCCUGGAAAAUAGAGCAGCCAGUCUCCAGCUAAGAGAUGCUGUGUAAAGAAGAGAAAAAACGUAAAGCCAUUAAACCAUUUCAUUAUA